UACGAAGGUGGCAAGCGUUACUCGGAAUUACUAGGCGUAAAGGGCAGGUAGGUGGUUUGAUAAGUCUGUUGUGUAAGCUCCUGGCUUAACUGGGAGAGGUCAACGGAAACUAUCAGACUUGAGUAUAGGAGAGGUUACUGGAAUUCCCGGUGUAGCGGUGAAAUGCGCAGAUAUCGGGAGGAACACCAAUGGCGAAAGCAGGUAACUGGACUAUUACUGACACUCAGCUGCGAAAGCUAGGGGAGCAAACAGG
rnacentral:rRNA from 1 species